rnacentral:rRNA from 1 species
UACGAGAGGCCCGAACGUUAUUCGGAAUCACUGGGCUUACAGAGUUCGUAGGCGGCGGAGAAAGUAGGGUGUGAAAGCCCUCGGCUUAACCGAGGAAUUGCGCUCUAAACUACUUCGCUCGAGGAGGAUAGAGGUGAGCGGAACUGAUGGUGGAGCGGUGAAAUGCGUUGAUAUCAUCAGGAACACCGGAGGCGAAGGCGGCUCACUGGGUCCUUUCUGACGCUGAGGAACGAAAGCUAGGGUAGCGAACGGG